CUGGUACUUUUCAUUGUAAAAAAUCAAUUUGAAUGCUCAGGGUUUUCCCCUACGUUAUCCCUUUUCUAAAAAAGGCCUUGAUCCCGGUGGCAAGGGAUCUUUAUCUUGCAGUUUACCAAUUGAUGUUCCAUCACCACAUAUUUUCUACUUUUCCUUUCAUGCCCUUUUAUUUUCUUUAUACUUUUCUUGAAAUUUUGCCUUCUUUUUUGUGGUGUGUGAGUUCUUGUUAGAGAACUGAAUAAACAGUUACUUUUUAAUAUUCUGGCUUUGUUUUGUCGAUUUUACCGGAUGCCUUUGGUUAACUGUCUCUUGCUGAUUAGAGAUCCUUUCGUACAAUUAAUAUUCAGGUGGUUUUUGAUACUUUAAGAAAGUUUGAUGGAAGGAGUAUAGGCAGAUAAUUCCAGGUGAAUAUACACAAAUGGUUGGUCGUGCUUGCAGAAGAGGGCUCGAUAAAUUUGGGACAGUUAUAAUAAUGUGUCGUGAUGAAAUUCUGGAUGAAUGAGACCUGAAGCAUGUCAUUGUUAGACAUCCAACCAAACUUGAAUCUCAGUUUCAUCUAACUUAUAUUAUGAUUAUGCAUCUACUUCGUGUUGAAGAACUAAAGGUGGAAGACAUGCUAAAGAGAAGCUUUGUAGAAUUUCAUACUCAGAAGAAACUUCCUGAAAAGCAACAGCUCCUGAUGGUAAAAUUUGCGCAGCCCACAAAGACCCUAAAAUGCAUAAAGGGUGAACCUGCAAUUGAGGAAUAUUAUGAGAUGUAUACAGAGGCUGAAAGAUACUCGAACUAGGUAACAGGGCAUGUCAUGCAGUCUCAUUCUACACAGGAAUUUCUUGUGCUCGGAAGAGUGGUAGUCGUUAAAUCGCAAACGUCUCAGGAUCAUUUACUAGGGGUGGUGAUGAAGAUACCUUCAGCCACCAUGAAGAAGUACAUCGUUUUAGUGCUGAAACCAGAUUUACCUCCGAUGAUGCAAUCCCCCUCUGGCAGUGGUGCCUUGACAAAGGAAGAAGCAAAUCUGGAGAAGGAUUUAUGUAGUUGCCCAAGGGAAAAUGUGGUAUGGAUGAUGAAUAUUACUCUGGUGUUACCUCUUUGGUGUGAUCAACAUAAAAUUGCCCUACCAGGGGGUGGCUACUGGUGUUAAUUAUGAAGUCAGAGAAGUGGAAAAUAAAGAGUUCCUUUCCAUAUGCAAUUGCAAAUUAAAGGUUCCUUGAAGACAUUAGCGCUGUUGCCUAUUCAAAAACUGUUCAGCAGCUUUCUGAACUGAAAUCCAAUGGGAAAAAAAUAUCCCCAGCAUAGGAUCCUAUAAAGGGUAUGCCUCAUUUCUGUAGUGAAACUGCCAAAAUGAAUACUCUAAAAUGAACUCAGGAGAGGAGUUAAUAUGCACCGAACAUUUGUAUAGAUGAUGACUUAGUAGUUCAGAUUAAGGGUCGUGUUGCUUGUAAAAUGAACUCAGGAGAGGAGUUAAUAUGCACCGAACAUUUGUUCGAGAAUCAGUUAGAAGACCUAGAACCUAAAGAAGCAGGUAUAAGAGAAAUUUUCUUGUAUGUACAUCUCUCUGGGUGGAUAGAUAUAUUUCUUUGAUUCAAUCCCUAAGGGACAUCAUUGAUUUAUUUUCACUUGUGGAGGAGAUGUACUAGGUGCCAAUGCAAUCCAUAGGGACAUUGAGCAUUGAUGUACAAGAUGGAGCAAUCUAAGAGUUUGUAGAGAAAGCUAAUUAAAUACUCUAAAUGAGGGAGGAUUGUUGGACAUUUAGAGUAUAUAAACUAGAGAGACCUGCAUAAGUCAAAAUGCACUCAGAACUGCAUAAACGGUAAAUUACUCGUCCCAAACUGUUUGCACCAAGUUCUCUUAAGAGCUCUCACGCAAAUUAGGUUGAUGGGACAAACAUUUGGGGACAGGAGAAACUGAUGAAUGUAAUAUACUUCACUGUCCAUUUGGGGACAGUCAGUGUAACAUAAUUCGCCAUCCAAUUUUCUUUUUAAAUUUGUUAUUUGCUCAAAAUGGACCAAAAAUAGCCGAAACCAACCAUAGUUCUUUUUUUUCAAUUCAUGAUUUGCAGAGAGAUAAGCUAAUUAUGUUACACUGAGACAGACAGAGUUUUCUACUGCUUGAAUUUGGUGUGUUCACCUGUGCAUCUGCAUAUGGUAUCCAGUCAUAGGUCCCUGGGUUUCCCUUUUUAGAAGCAUGAUGACUAAGAUCAGGAUCCGGGUGAUGUGCUCGUUUUUUGAGCACAUUUAUCUCCUCAUUUUAGUGUCGAGUCUCUCGUUUAAGAAUGGUUUUUACACACUUUACGCAUGAUUUUACCUUGUUCUUGUCUCCAUGGUGUUUUGAGGUAAUUUCAGGUAUUUUCGGAGAUUUCAAGGUAUUUUACGUUGCGUAUGAGAUGUAGAUGCUUUGAUCAAAGAUUAGACACGCGUACCAAAGCCUUCCCAAGAAUUCCAAGUCUUCCUCAAGGUCCCCGCAAAGUCCGGAAGGCAUCCAAAGCUUCAAAAGACGAAAACGGGCCAAGGAGAACAAGGAUUCGACCUGGAUUCGACCUAGAUUCGGUCGAAUGGACCUGGAUUCGAUCGACAUACUGUAUAUAUUGCAUAUUCAUGCUUUGUUUUUCUGUUUUCAAUAAAAAAAAAUUUGAGUUUUGAAAC